rnacentral:rRNA from 1 species
UACCAGCACCUCGAGUGGUCAGGACGUUUAUUGGGCCUAAAGCAUCCGUAGCCGGCUUUGCAAGUCUCCGGUUAAAUCCACCUGCUCAACAGAUGGGCUGCUGGAGAUACUACAAAGCUAGGGAGUGGGAGAGGCGGACGGUAUUCAGUGGGUAGGGGUAAAAUCCUCUGAUCCAUCGAGGACCACCAGUGGCGAAGGCGGUCCGCCAGAACACGUUCGACGGUGAGGGAUGAAAGCUGGGGGAGCAAACCGG